rnacentral:rRNA from 1 species
GUUGUAUGGUUAAGUGACUAAGCGUACAUGGUGGAUGCCUUGGCAGUCAGAGGCGAUGAAGGACGUACUAACCUGCGAUAAGCCGUGAGCAGUCGGUAAGAGACAUUACGACUCACGGAUUUCCGAAUGGGGAAACCCACUUAGCAUAAGCUAGGUAUCGCUGCGUGAAUACAUAGCGUAGCGAGGCGAACCGGGAGAACUGAAACAUCUAAGUACCCCGAGGAAAAGAAAUCAACCGAGAUUCCCUCAGUAGCGGCGAGCGAACGGGGAUUAGCCCUUAAGCAUCUUGGAAGUUAGUGGAACGGUCCUGGAAAGGCCGGCGAUACAGGGUGAUAGCCCCGUACACGAAAACAACCUUGAUGUGAAAUCGAGUAGGGCGGGACACGUGACAUCCUGUCUGAAUAUGGGGGGACCAUCCUCCAAGGCUAAAUACUCCUGACUGACCGAUAGUGAACCAGUACCGUGAGGGAAAGGCGAAAAGAACCCCUGUGAGGGGAGUGAAAUAGAACCUGAAACCGUGUACGUACAAGCAGUGGGAGCCCUUCGGGGUGACUGCGUACCUUUUGUAUAAUGGGUCAGCGACUUACAUUUUGUAGCGAGGUUAACCGUAUAGGGGAGCCGUAGGGAAACCGAGUCUUAACUGGGCGUCUAGUUGCAAGGUGUAGACCCGAAACCGGGUGAUCUAGCCAUGGGCAGGUUGAAGGUUGAGUAACAUCAACUGGAGGACCGAACCCACUAACGUUGCAAAGUUAGGGGAUGACCUGUGGCUGGGGGUGAAAGGCCAAUCAAACUCGGAGAUAGCUGGUUCUCCCCGAAAGCUAUUUAGGUAGCGCCUCGGACGAAUACUACUGGGGGUAGAGCACUGUUUGGGCUAGGGGGUCAUCCCGACUUACCAACCCCAUGCAAACUCCGAAUACCAGUAAGUAAUAUCCGGGAGACACACGGCGGGUGCUAACGUCCGUCGUGAAGAGGGAAACAACCCAGACCGCCGGCUAAGGUCCCAAAGUUCUGGUUAAGUGGGAAACGAUGUGGGAAGGCUCAGACAGCUAGGAUGUUGGCUUAGAAGCAGCCAUCAUUUAAAGAAAGCGUAAUAGCUCACUAGUCGAGUCGGCCUGCGCGGAAGAUGUAACGGGGCUCAAACCAGGCACCGAAGCCGCGGAUUCACACUAAGUGUGAGUGGUAGGGGAGCGUUCUGUAAGUCUGCGAAGGUGUUCCGAUCUAUGCUGGAGAUAUCAGAAGUGCGAAUGCUGACGUAAGUAACGAUAAAGGGGGUGAAAAGCCUCCUCGCCGGAAGACCAAGGGUUCCUGUCCAACGUUAAUCGGGGCAGGGUGAGUCGACCCCUAAGGCGAGGCCGAAAGGCGUAGUCGAUGGGAAGCAGGUUAAUAUUCCUGCACGACUUGUAAUUGCGAUGGGGGGACGGAGAAGGCUAGGUGGGCCAGGCGACGGUUGUCCUGGUGAAAGUGCGUAGGUGGUGUUUCUAGGCAAAUCCGGAGACACAACACUGAGACACGAGACUAAUACUCUUCGUUUUUGAAGCUAUUGAUGCCCUGCUUCCAGGAAAAGCCUCUAAGCUUCAGAUUACAAGUCAUCGUACCCCAAACCGACACAGGUGGUCGGGUAGAGAAUACCAAGGCGCUUGAGAGAACUCGGGUGAAGGAACUAGGCAAAAUAGAACCGUAACUUCGGGAGAAGGUUCGCUCUUGACAGUGAAGUCCCUUGCGGAUGGAGCAGUUGGGAGUCGCAGUGACCAGAUGGCUGGGACUGUUUAUCAAAAACACAGCACUCUGCAAACACGAAAGUGGACGUAUAGGGUGUGACACCUGCCCGGUGCCGGAAGGUUAAUUGAUGGGGUUAGCGCAAGCGAAGCUCUUGAUCGAAGCCCCGGUAAACGGCGGCCGUAACUAUAACGGUCCUAAGGUAGCGAAAUUCCUUGUCGGGUAAGUUCCGACCUGCACGAAUGGUGUAACCAUGGCCAUGCUGUCUCCACCCGAGACUCAGUGAAAUCGAAUUCGCCGUGAAGAUGCGGUGUACCCGCGGCUAGACGGAAAGACCCCGUGAACCUUUACUACAGCUUGGCACUGAACAUUGAACCUACAUGUGUAGGAUAGGUGGGAGGCUUUGAAGGCGUGACGCCAGUUGCGCUGGAGCCGUCCUUGAAAUACCACCCUUGUAUGUUUGAUGUUCUAACGCAGGCCCCUGAAUCGGGGUCGCGGACAGUGCCUGGUGGGUAGUUUGACUGGGGCGGUCUCCUCCCAAAGAGUAACGGAGGAGCACGAAGGUUGGCUAAUCCUGGUCGGACAUCAGGAGGUUAGUGCAAUGGCAUAAGCCAGCUUAACUGCGAGACGGACAGGUCGAGCAGGUACGAAAGUAGGUCAUAGUGAUCCGGUGGUUCUGAAUGGAAGGGCCAUCGCUCAACGGAUAAAAGGUACUCCGGGGAUAACAGGCUGAUACCGCCCAAGAGUUCAUAUCGACGGCGGUGUUUGGCACCUCGAUGUCGGCUCAUCACAUCCUGGGGCUGAAGUCGGUCCCAAGGGUAUGGCUGUUCGCCAUUUAAAGUGGUACGCGAGCUGGGUUCAGAACGUCGUGAGACAGUUCGGUCCCUAUCUGCCGUGGGCGUUGGAUGAUUGAAGGGAGUUGCUCCUAGUACGAGAGGACCGGAGUGAACGAACCUCUGGUGUUCGGGUUGUCACGCCAGUGGCACUGCCCGGUAGCUAAGUUCGGAAUCGAUAACCGCUGAAAGCAUCUAAGCGGGAAGCGAGCCCUGAGAUGAGUCAUCCCUGACCCCUUGAGGGUCCUAAAGGGCCGUUGGAGACCACAACGUUGAUAGGUGGGGUGUGUAAGCGCGGCGACGUGUUGAGCUAACCCAUACUAAUUACCCGUGAGGCUUAACCAUACAACACCCAAGAAGUGUUCU